rnacentral:rRNA from 1 species
AACUUCAGAUCUGGCUGGGCGGUCUGCUUAACGGCAUGUACUGUCUGGCUGGGUCUUACCUCUUGGUGAGCCGGUGUGCCCUUUAUUGGAUGCAUCGGGGAACCAGGACUUUUACCUUGAGAAAAUUAGAGUGUUCAAAGCAGGCCUAUGCCCGAAUACAUUAGCAUGGAAUAAUAAAAUAGGACGUGCGGUUCUAUUUUGUUGGUUUCUAGAGUCACCGUAAUGAUUAAUAGGGAUAGUUGGGGGCAUUGGUAUUGAGUCGCUAGAGGUGAAAUUCUUGGAUUGACUCAAGACCAACUAUUGCGAAAGCAUUUGCCAAGGAUGUUUUCAUUAAUCAAGAACGAAGGUUAGGGGAUCGAAAACGAUCAGAUACCGUUGUAGUCUUAACAGUAAACUAUGCCGACUAGGGAUUGGGCAACCUCAAUUAUGAUGUGUUGCUCAGCACCUUACGAGAAAUCAAAGUUUUUGGGUUCCGGGGGGAGUAUGGUCGCAAGGCUGAAACUUAAAGG